CUACGGGGGGCAGCAGUGGGGAAUAUUGCGCAAUGGGGGAAACCCUGACGCAGCAAUACCGCGUGAGCGAUGAAGGCCCUUGGGCCGUAAAGCUCUGUUAGGUGGGAAGAAGUGUAGUGUAAUUAAUAGUUACAUUAUUUGACGGUACCACCAGAGGAAGCCCCGGCUAACUCCGUGCCAGCAGCCGCGGUAAUACGGGGGGGGCAAGCGUUGUUCGGAAUUACUGGGCGUAAAGGGCGUGUAGGCGGCCUGUUAAGUUAGGUGCGAAAGACCAUGGCUCAACCAUGGAAUUGUGCUUAAAACUGGCGGGCUUGAGUAUAGGAGAGGAAAGUGGAAUUCCCAGUGUAGCGGUGAAAUGCGUAGAUAUUGGGAGGAACACCGGUGGCGAAGGCGGCUUUCUGGACUAAUACUGACGCUGAGGCGCGAAAGCCAGGGGAGCAAACGGGAUUAGAUACCCUAGUAGUC
rnacentral:rRNA from 1 species